UGAGGAAUAUUGGUCAAUGGGCGAGAGCCUGAACCAGCCAAGUCGCGUGAAGGAAGACAGUCCUAAGGAUUGUAAACUUCUUUUAUACGGGAAUAACGGGCGAUACGAGUAUUGCAUUGAAUGUACCGUAAGAAUAAGCAUCGGCUAACUCCGUGCCAGCAGCCGCGGUAAUACGGAGGAUGCGAGCGUUAUCCGGAUUUAUUGGGUUUAAAGGGUGCGUAGGUUGUUCGGUAAGUCAGCGGUGAAACCUGAGCGCUCAACGUUCAGCCUGCCGUUGAAACUGCCGGGCUUGAGUUCAGUGGCGGCAGGCGGAAUUCGUGGUGUAGCGGUGAAAUGCAUAGAUAUCACGAGGAACUCCGAUUGCGAAGGCAGCUUGCCAUACUGCGACUGACACUGAAGCACGAAGGCGUGGGGAGCAAACAGG
rnacentral:rRNA from 1 species